AUGACNAGUCUGACGGAGCACGCCGCGUGAGCGAUGAAGGCCUUCGGGUCGUAAAGCUCUGUUGUUAGGGAAGAACAAGUACCAGAGUAACUGCUCGUACCUUGGCGGUACCUAACCAGAAAGCCACGGGUAACUACCUGCCCACCGCCGCGGUAAUACCUAAGUGGGGAGCGUUUUCCGGAAUUAUUGGGCGUAAAGCGCGCGCCAGCGGUUUCUUAAGUCUGAUGUGAAAGCCCACGGCUCCACCGUGGAAGGGCAUUGGAAACUGGGAAACUUGAAUGGCGAAAAAGAAAACGGAAUUCCCCGUGUAGCGGGGAAAUGGGUAAAGAUGUGGAAGAACCCCA
rnacentral:rRNA from 1 species